UUUUUUUUUUUUUUUUUUCUCUUUUUAGGGCCGCACUCGCAGCAUAUGGAGGUUGCCAGGAUAGGUGUCAAAUCAGAGCUGUAGCCACUGGCCUAUGCCACAGCCACGGCAACGCCGGAGCCUUUAACCCAUUGAGUGAGGCCAGGGAUCAAACCUGCGUCCUCAUGGAUACUAGUCGGAUUUGUUUCUGCUGAGCCACAACGGGAACUCCAAAUUACUUAUUUUAUAUUUGCCUUAUUUUCUUCAUUUUUAAGCUUAAUUUUAAGCUUAACUCCCUGCACUUAAUUUUUAUGACAAUUAACCUAAGGGCUCAGAGCAUGAGCUUUGCAAAUUAAGCUUGAGGGAUGGGUGGGGGCGAGGGGGGAGGAAAUGCCAGCCCAAGGAGAUUGCUUUUGUUUUGUUUGGGCCACAUCCAUGGCAUGUGGAAAUUUCCAGGCUAGAGUUCGAACCGUAGCCACAGUUGUGACCUGGGCCACAGUUGCAGCAAAGCUAGGUCCUAAACCUGCUGCACCACAAAAGAACUUUCCAAAAGAGGGUUAAUGCUACAAAUUCAAUUUCACAGACAGAACAAAGCAGCCAAAUCUGGGGACUGUCAUGCCUAGUCCAAGAUCUGCCUAUAUCCUUGGGAAAGGCCUUAUGACAAAGUUUUCAUUUGAAAGUGAUAAACAGAAAAAAAAAAUCUCUUAGAGUCCAGUGUCAAUCCUAUCCUUGUCUCACGACUGUCUACAUUAAUCUUAUAUUUAGCAAAACCCAAGAGGUGACGUGUCUGGCAGCUUUUCUACAAUAAACAUUGCAAAGGAUUUUUCAACUAAAUUAAAAAGUUAGAGCCCUGCUUGGCACGAGUCUCCAGAAUUGCUCAUGGUUCUACUGAGAGAAAGAGCAGGUUAAGCCAGGAGUUCCCAUCGUGGCCCAGCAGAAACAAAUCUGACUAGCAUCCAUGAGGAUGUAGGUUCGAUCCCUGGCCUCGCUCAGUGGGUUAAGGAUCUGGUGUUGCCAUGAGCUGGGGUGUAGGUCAUAGACACAGCUAGGAUCCUGCAUUGCUGUGGCUGUGGUGUAGGCCAGAAGCUGUAGCUCCGAUUAGACCCCUAGCCUGGGAACUUCCAUGUGCUGUGAGUGCAGCCCUAAAAACCAAAGGAAAAAAAAAAAAAAUAGACUAUGGACAUGGCACACAUUCGGCAAAGAGCAUAAGGUAUGAGAUUGGGGAAGGGGGCGCUAAGAGGAAAUGCAAAGAAAUGAAAUAUUAGGAGUGGCCAAAAGAGCUUUUUCUGGAAAAUAAUGAGUGUGACAAUGGUACAGCUAUUCAAAGAGCAUUUGGGAGUUCCCUGGUGGUCUAGUCAUUAGGAUUUGACCUGGGUUUGAUUCCCUGAUCUAGGAACUGAGAUUCCCACUCAAGCUGCUGCACGCCGAAGCAAGAAAAAACACACAACAAAACACUGAGCAUGGAAUGCUAUGGAAAUCUCUAAAGAACCGAAGUUUUCUAUCAAGUCACAGGGUAUCAGGCGAGGAGGUGACAUUCCCCAGUGCGGAUAAGAGACUAUUCAUGAGGAAGCCCCCAGGGAAGGGCAGGGUAGGGGGCUGGUUCCCAGGCCCGAGGGGAUAGGAAGGGAGCGGUCACUGGCGCCUGAGAGGGUCACAGGACACGCUGAGAGGAGAAGGGACCUUGACACAGGUACACAAGGACACAGCCAAGCUGAGGGGACGCCCCAGAAGGGAACUGAAGAGAUAAACCUCAGACCUCAUGCCCCAGCCUCCCUGCAUCCACUGAAGCUCCCACUGGCCAAACCCAACUGGAAGCCAGAGAGCCUGGUGGUCAGUGGUCCAUGCAUGUCAGAUGCCCGGGGUGGGGUGGGGUGGAGGGGUGAGGGCAGUGGGAACAGAGGGCAGACGAGACUUCAGCACACAGGGCAUUCUGUUUCUCUGCAUGCAUUUUCCAUUUAUGCAUCUCAGGGGCACCCAGUAAAACAUUAACCUUGAGUUCCCUGGUGGCUCAGCGGGUUAAGGAUCCUGUGUUGUUGUCACUGCUGUGGCUCAGGUCACUGCUGUGCCUGGGGUUCGAUCUCUGGCCCUGGAACUUCCACCUGCUGCAGGCAGAUGGGAGUCCAUUAACCUUGAAGGGCACUGGCCACCCUGAGUAAUGAAUCUGGGCCUCGUGGCUGGUGCUUAGAAAAACUGCCGAACCAUGAGCAGCAACAUAGGCAGACUCCUUUAUCAAACUACAAAUAUUUCUAAAAUCUCUGUCACUGUGUCUCAAUUCUAAUAUAUUCCCAACAUAAUAUAUUCUACUCUUUUUUUUUUUUUCCUGUCUUUUUAGGGCUGCACCCACUGCAUAUGGAGGGUCCCAGGCUAGGGGUCUAAUCAGAGCUAUAGCUGCAAAGCCUAUGCCAGAGCCACAGCAACGCGGGAUCCGAGCUGCGUCUGCAACUUACAUCACAGCUCAUGGCAACGCCAGAUCCUUAACCCACUGAGCAAGGCCAGAGAUGGAACCGGCCACCUCAUGGUCCCUAGUCGGAUUGUCAACCACUGAGCCACGACGGGAACUCCCCCAUUUUCCAUUCUUUACAGGUGUUUUACUUCAAUAGCUCAACUCAUCUCUUACUUUCCCCACCCUGAGAAUGUUCUGCCCCCUUCCAUUUCCCAGAAUUACUCAUCCUCCUUUCUGCUUGGGUCCCGAAUCUGCAAAGAAGGUGGUGCCCAGAAAAAAGUGAGGGACUAGGUGUUCCAGAAGAAUGGCCCACCCAUCUUUGCAGGCCAGUUCUGUACGUGGCGUCUGCACCUGCAAACUUGUGCCUGGACUUACCAUCCCCUCUCCAUGUAAUCAGAACCCCAAGAGAGAACACCUGUACCUGAAAGUCCAGCCCCGGGGCCCUGUCCUCACACUCAGCUGAAAAUCUCACCUCUUACUUGGCUGAGAAAGUGGAAGCCAUGAGAAGAGAACAGCCCGAGUCGCCCCCAUCACCUUACAAACCUCGCACUCAGCCCAAUGGGCUCUGCCCCCCUCCCCCCACCUUCACCCCCGCCCCACUACUGUGGACCGUCGAGCCCCUCCCUCAAGGCAAGCUCCCCUCAAGAAUGGGGUUGACCGUUCCCUGCAUGGCUGAUGUAAGGGGCUGUCAGCGUUCCUUGGCUCGCGGUGGCUUCAGUCCCCUGUCUGCCUGGCUGGCCACGCAGCCUCCUUCCUCUGUGUCCUCGUCUCAAAUCUCCUUCCACCAAGGACACUCGUCACUGGAUUCAGGGCUCGCCUGAAGAAUCUCCUCAUCUCAAGAUGCUUAACUUCUGGAGUUUCCGUCGUGGCUCAGAGGUUAACGAAUCCGAGUAGGAACCAUGAGGUUUGCGGGUUCGACCCCAGGCCUUGCCCAGUGGGUUAAGGAUCCGGCAUUGCCGUGAGCUGUGGUGUAGGUUGCAGACGCGGCUCGGAUCCCGCGUUGCUGUGGCUGUGGUGUAGGCCGGCGGCUACACUUCCGAUUAGAUCCCUAGCCUGGGAACCUCCAUAUGCUGCAGGGGUGGCCCUAAAAAAGAAAAAAAAAAAAAAAAAAAAAAAGAUUCUUAACUGCUUCAUAUCAGCAAAGACCCUUUUUCCGAAUAAAGGGAACAUUCAUAGGUUGCUCCAGAUCAUUCAUGAAUGACCUUAACUUGGCUACAUGGUCACUGCCUGCCAGCAAAUAAAUGUGCAAGUCCUGACCUACUGGAAAAGCACCACUGAAACAGUUGACUGGGGGCAAGGACCCUCUCAGAUGCUAAAGCCAUGGGUGAAAGUUCCCUGGAAGGAAAGAUAUUCACACAAACCCCAAGAAGUAUCACCAGCAAUUACUUCCUAAUUACAGAAGGGACAGCUCUGUGAAGCUGGGGAGCCAGCUGAAUAGUUUUUUUCUUUUUCCUUUUUGGCCGCACCGGCAGCAUGCAGAGGAAAAAAAAAAAAAAAAGGCAAACAAACAAAAAAAUACAUUCAUAUUAAGUAUUAAUAGAGGAGUUCCCAUGGUGGCUCAGUGGUUAAGAAGUCUGACUAGGAACCAUGAGGUUUUGGGUUUGAUCCCUGGCCUCGCUCAGUGGGUUAAGGAUCCUGCGUUGCCGUGAGCUGUGGUGUAUAUCGCAGAUGCGGCUUGGAUCCUGUGUUGCUGUGGCCGUGGCAUAGGCCGGCAGCUGCAGCUCCGAUUGGACCCCUUGCCUGGGAACCUCCAUGUUCCGCGGGUGCGGCCCUGGAAAAGACAAAAAAAAAAGAAAGAUUCAAAAAGAAAAGUAUUAAUACAGGUUAGAUUAUGUGAGAACUUCUGACUUUUGUUAACAUUCUUAAUUCGUUACAAUCCAUAUGCAUUGAUCACCUGUACACACCCCCAAAUCCCCCAUCUGAAAAAAAUAAAUAAAAGGAAUGAUGGACUAUUUAACGGGGUGGGGGGGGAGCGGAAUACUCACCUCACGUUCACCCUCACUCCCAGCAUGACUCCUAUCCACCUCACCUGGUG
rnacentral:lncRNA from 1 species